ACUACAAAUUCCUUCUUUUAUCAGGCUCAGUAAGCUGAGUCGUUUUGAUUCAAGAACUUUCCCUUUUUAUUUUCUCUCUCUCUCUUUUUUUAAGAGAGAGAGAGAGAGAGAGAGAGAGAGAGAGAGAGAGAGAGAGAGAGAGAGAGAAUUUAUAUAUAUAUAUUUAGUUUUCGGCGUACACAACAUCU
rnacentral:sRNA from 1 species